rnacentral:rRNA from 1 species
GAUGAACGCUGGCGGCGUGCCUAAUACAUGCAAGUCGAGCGAAUAGACGAGGAGCUUGCUCCUCUGACGUUAGCAGCGGACGGGUGAGUAACACGUGGAUAACCUACCUAUAAGACUGGGAUAACUUCGGGAAACCGGAGCUAAUACCGGAUAAUAUAUUGAACCGCAUGGUUCAAUAGUGAAAGACGGUUUUGCUGUCACUUAUAGAUGGAUCCGCGCCGCAUUAGCUAGUUGGUAAGGUAACGGCUUACCAAGGCAACGAUGCGUAGCCGACCUGAGAGGGUGAUCGGCCACACUGGAACUGAGACACGGUCCAGACUCCUACGGGAGGCAGCAGUAGGGAAUCUUCCGCAAUGGGCGAAAGCCUGACGGAGCAACGCCGCGUGAGUGAUGAAGGUCUUCGGAUCGUAAAACUCUGUUAUUAGGGAAGAACAAAUGUGUAAGUAACUAUGCACGUCUUGACGGUACCUAAUCAGAAAGCCACGGCUAACUACGUG